CUAAAAUAACAAUAGCAACAUGUAACAUAUGUAAACUCUCAAAUUUCAACAAAUCAAAUGCUCACAUAUUUGCAUUUACAACCAUAUACCCAUCAUCAUCAUGCACACCAUCCCAUCAUCAUCAUCAUGCACACCAUCCCAUCAUCAUCAUUCCCAACUCAUGCGCACUCCCUACUCGCACAUGGCUAGGUCAUCACCGGGUUAUGCGCACUCCCUACUCGCACAUAACCGGGUCAUCAUCGGGUUAUGCGUACUCCCUACUCGCACAUAACCGGAUCAUCAUCGGCUUAUGCGCACUCCCUACUCGCACAUAGCUGAGUCAAUAUCAUUACACAACAAUGUAUUCAUAUAUAUAUAUAUAUAUCAACAUAAUGUGGUAGUGCAUGAAUCAAUAAUAGUCACAUGUCACAACAUGAAGACAAUCUAUCAAAAGCUUGUUCCCAAGGCACUUGUUUUUAUGAAAAGCUGGAUAAUCCAUUCAAAUGUUU
rnacentral:lncRNA from 1 species